rnacentral:rRNA from 1 species
UACGAAGGGGGCUAGCGUUUCUCGGAAUCACUGGGCGUAAAGCGCACGUAGGCGGCUUUUUAAGUCAGGGGUGAAAUCCUGGAGCUCAACUCCAGAACUGCCUUUGAUACUGAGGAUCUUGAGUUCGGGAGAGGUGAGUGGAACUGCGAGUGUAGAGGUGAAAUUCGUAGAUAUUCGCAAGAACACCAGUGGCGAAGGCGGCUCACUGGCCCGAUACUGACGCUGAGGCACGAAAGCGUGGGGAGCAAACAGG